CCUACGGGAGGCAGCAGUGAGGAAUAUUGGUCAAUGGGCGCGAGCCUGAACCAGCCAAGUAGCGUGAAGGAUGACUGCCCUACGGGUUGUAAACUUCUUUUAUAAAGGAAUAAAGUGAGGCACGUGUGCCUUUUUGUAUGUACUUUAUGAAUAAGGAUCGGCUAACUCCGUGCCAGCAGCCGCGGUAAUAUGGGGGAUCUGAGCGUUAUCCGGUUUGAUUGGGUUAAAGGGAGCGUAGAUGGGUUGUUAAGUCAGUUGUGAAAGUUUGCGGCUCAACCGUAAAAUUGCAAUUGAUACUGGGAGGCUUGAGUGCAGUUGAGGUAGGCGGAAUUCGUAGUGUAGCGGUGAAAUGCUUAGAUAUCACGAAGAACUCCGAUUGCGAAGGCAGCUUACUAAACUGCCACUGACAUUGAUGCUCGAAAGUGUGGGUAUCAAACAGGAUUAGAUACCCGAGUAGUC
rnacentral:rRNA from 1 species